AAAUUAUGUUUUUAUGCCAAAAUCAUAAAAUACUUU
rnacentral:sRNA from 1 species